UGAGGAAUAUUGGGCAAUGCCCGCAAGGGUGACCCAGCAACGCCGCGUGGAGGAUGAAUGUCGUAAGAUUGUAAACUCCUGUUAGAGGGGAAGAAUAGUACCGGUUGGACCGGUAUAUGACUGUACCCUCAGAGAAAGCCCCGGCUCACUACGUGCCAGCAGCCGCGGUAAUACGUCGGGGGCAAGCGUUGUCCGGAUUUACUGGGUGUAAAGGGCGCGCAGGCGGGAUAAAAAGUCAGUGGUGAAAUCCUACAGCUUAACUGUAGAACUGCCUUUGAUACUUUUAUUCUUGAGUUCGGGAGAGAGAGACGGAAUUCCAGGUGUAGUGGUGAAAUACGUAGAUAUCUGGAAGAACACCAGUUGCGAAGGCGGUCUCUUGGUCCGACACUGACGCUGAGGCGCGAAAGCGUGGGG
rnacentral:rRNA from 1 species